GGGUUGUGAGGUUAAGCGACUAAGCGUACACGGUGGAUGCCCUGGCAGUCAGAGGCGAUGAAGGACGUGCUAAUCUGCGAAAAGCGUCGGUAAGGUGAUAUGAACCGUUAUAGCCGGCGAUGUCCGAAUGGGGAAACCCAGUGCAAUUCGUUGCACUAUCGUUAACUGAAUACAUAGGUUAACGAGGCGAACCGGGGGAACUGAAACAUCUAAGUACCCCGAGGAAAAGAAAUCAACCGAGAUUCCCCCAGUAGCGGCGAGCGAACGGGGAGCAGCCCAGAGUCUGAAUCAGCUUGUGUGUUAGUGGAACGGUCUGGAAAGUCCGACGGUACAGGGUGAUAGUCCCGUACACCAAAAUGCACAGGCUGUGAACUCGAAGAGUAGGGCGGGACACGUGGUAUCCUGUCUGAAUAUGGGGGGACCAUCCUCCAAGGCUAAAUACUCCUGACUGACCGAUAGUGAACCAGUACCGUGAGGGAAAGGCGAAAAGAACCCCGGCGAGGGGAGUGAAAAAGAACCUGAAACCGUGUACGUACAAGCAGUGGGAGCACCUUCUGGUGUGACUGCGUACCUUUUGUAUAAUGGGUCAGCGACUUAUAUUCUGUAGCAAGGUUAACCGUAUAGGGGAGCCGCAGGGAAACCGAGUCUUAACUGGGCGUUAAGUUGCAGGGUAUAGACCCGAAACCCGGUGAUCUAGCCAUGGGCAGGUUGAAGGUUGGGUAACACUAACUGGAGGACCGAACCGACUAAUGUUGAAAAAUUAGCGGAUGACUUGUGGCUGGGGGUGAAAGGCCAAUCAAACCGGGAGAUAGCUGGUUCUCCCCGAAAGCUAUUUAGGUAGCGCCUCGUGAAUUCAUCUUCGGGGGUAGAGCACUGUUUCGGCUAGGGGGUCAUCCCGACUUACCAACCCGAUGCAAACUACGAAUACCGAAGAAUGUUAUCACGGGAGACACACGGCGGGUGCUAACGUCCGUCGUGAAGAGGGAAACAACCCAGACCGCCAGCUAAGGUCCCAAAGUCAUGGUUAAGUGGGAAACGAUGUGGGAAGGCACAGACAGCCAGGAUGUUGGCUUAGAAGCAGCCAUCAUUUAAAGAAAGCGUAAUAGCUCACUGGUCGAGUCGGCCUGCGCGGAAGAUGUAACGGGGCUAAACCAUGCACCGAAGCUGCGGCAGCGACACUAUGUGUUGUUGGGUAGGGGAGCGUUCUGUAAGCCUGCGAAGGUGUGCUGUGAGGCAUGCUGGAGGUAUCAGAAGUGCGAAUGCUGACAUAAGUAACGAUAAAGCGGGUGAAAAGCCCGCUCGCCGGAAGACCAAGGGUUCCUGUCCAACGUUAAUCGGGGCAGGGUGAGUCGACCCCUAAGGCGAGGCCGAAAGGCGUAGUCGAUGGGAAACAGGUUAAUAUUCCUGUACUUGGUGUUACUGCGAAGGGGGGACGGAGAAGGCUAUGUUAGCCGGGCGACGGUUGUCCCGGUUUAAGCAUGUAGGCUGGUUAUCCAGGCAAAUCCGGAUAAUCAAGGCUGAGGUGUGAUGACGAGGCACUACGGUGCUGAAGUAACAAAUGCCCUGCUUCCAGGAAAAGCCUCUAAGCAUCAGGUAACAUCAAAUCGUACCCCAAACCGACACAGGUGGUCAGGUAGAGAAUACCAAGGCGCUUGAGAGAACUCGGGUGAAGGAACUAGGCAAAAUGGUGCCGUAACUUCGGGAGAAGGCACGCUGGUGUGUAGGUGAAGUCCCUGCGGAUGGAGCUGAGACCAGUCGAAGAUACCAGCUGGCUGCAACUGUUUAUUAAAAACACAGCACUGUGCAAACACGAAAGUGGACGUAUACGGUGUGACGCCUGCCCGGUGCCGGAAGGUUAAUUGAUGGGGUUAUCCGUAAGGAGAAGCUCUUGAUCGAAGCCCCGGUAAACGGCGGCCGUAACUAUAACGGUCCUAAGGUAGCGAAAUUCCUUGUCGGGUAAGUUCCGACCUGCACGAAUGGCGUAAUGAUGGCCAGGCUGUCUCCACCCGAGACUCAGUGAAAUUGAACUCGCUGUGAAGAUGCAGUGUACCCGCGGCAAGACGGAAAGACCCCGUGAACCUUUACUAUAGCUUGACACUGAACAUUGAGCCUUGAUGUGUAGGAUAGGUGGGAGGCUUUGAAGCGUGGACGCCAGUCUGCGUGGAGCCAACCUUGAAAUACCACCCUUUAAUGUUUGAUGUUCUAACGUUGGCCCCUGACCGGGGUUGCGGACAGUGUCUGGUGGGUAGUUUGACUGGGGCGGUCUCCUCCCAAAGCGUAACGGAGGAGCACGAAGGUUAGCUAAUCCUGGUCGGACAUCAGGAGGUUAGUGCAAUGGCAUAAGCUAGCUUGACUGCGAGCGUGACGGCGCGAGCAGGUGCGAAAGCAGGUCAUAGUGAUCCGGUGGUUCUGAAUGGAAGGGCCAUCGCUCAACGGAUAAAAGGUACUCCGGGGAUAACAGGCUGAUACCGCCCAAGAGUUCAUAUCGACGGCGGUGUUUGGCACCUCGAUGUCGGCUCAUCACAUCCUGGGGCUGAAGUAGGUCCCAAGGGUAUGGCUGUUCGCCAUUUAAAGUGGUACGCGAGCUGGGUUUAGAACGUCGUGAGACAGUUCGGUCCCUAUCUGCCGUGGGCGCUGGAGAAUUGAGGGGGGCUGCUCCUAGUACGAGAGGACCGGAGUGGACGCAUCACUGGUGUUCGGGUUGUCAUGCCAAUGGCACUGCCCGGUAGCUAAAUGCGGAAGAGAUAAGUGCUGAAAGCAUCUAAGCACGAAACUUGCCCCGAGAUGAGUUCUCCCUGAGACUUUAAGUCUCCUGAAGGAACGUUGAAGACGACGACGUUGAUAGGCCGGGUGUGUAAGCGCAGCGAUGCGUUGAGCUAACCGGUACUAAUGAACCGUGAGGCUUAACCUUACAACGCCGAAG
rnacentral:rRNA from 1 species